rnacentral:rRNA from 1 species
GAGUUUGAUCCUGGCUCAGGAUAAACGCUGGCGGCGUGCCUAACACAUGCAAGUCGAACGAGAAUCUGAUGACGGAGUUUUCGGACAACUGAAUCAGAGGACAGUGGCGGACGGGUGAGUAAUGCGUGAGCAACCUGCCCUUCAGAGGGGGACAACAGUUGGAAACGACUGCUAAUACCGCAUAAUGUACUUGGGAGGCAUCUCCCGGGUACCAAAGAUUUUAUCGCUGAAGGAUGGGCUCACGUCUGAUUAGCUGGUUGGUAAGGUAACGGCCUACCAAGGCGACGAUCAGUAGCCGGACUGAGAGGUU